rnacentral:rRNA from 1 species
AGAGUUUGAUCCUGGCUCAGAACGAACGCUGGCGGCAUGCCUAAUACAUGCAAGUCGAACGAGCCCUUCGGGGUUAGUGGCGCACGGGUGCGUAACGCGUGGGAAUCUGCCCUUGGGUUCGGAAUAACGUCUGGAAACGGACGCUAAUACCGGAUGAUGACGAAAGUCCAAAGAUUUAUCGCCCAGGGAUGAGCCCGCGUAGGAUUAGCUAGUUGGUGGGGUAAAGGCCUACCAAGGCGACGAUCCGUAACUGGUCUGAGAGGAUGAUCAGUCACACUGGAACUGAGACACGGUCCAGACUCCUACGGGAGGCAGCAGUGGGGAAUAUUGGACAAUGGGCGAAAGCCUGAUCCAGCCAUGCCGCGUGUGUGAAGAAGGUCUUCGGAUUGUAAAGCACUUUAAGUUGGGAGGAAGGGCAGUAAGUUAAUACCUUGCUGUUUUGACGUUACCAACAGAAUAAGCACCGGCUAACUUCGUGCCAGCAGCCGCGGUAAUACGAAGGGUGCAAGCGUUAAUCGGAAUUACUGGGCGUAAAGCGCGCGUAGGUGGUUUGGUAAGAUGGAUGUGAAAUCCCCGGGCU